rnacentral:rRNA from 1 species
AUUGAACGCUGGCGGCAGGCCUAACACAUGCAAGUCGAGCGGAGCGGUGGUCGGGUGAGUAAGGCCUAGGAAUCUGCCAGGUAGUGGUGGAUAAGGUCCGGAAGCGGGCGCUAAUACCGCAUACUAUCAGAUGAGCCUAGGUCGGAUUAGCAGGUUGGGGGGGUAAAGGCCUACCAGGGCGACGAUCCGUACCUGGUCCGAGGGGUUGAUCAGUCACACUGGAACUGAGACACGCUCCAGACUCCUACGGAGGGCAGCGGUGGGAAAUAUUGGACAAUGGGCGAAGGCCUGAUGCAGCCAGGCCGCGUGUGUGAAGAAGGUCUUCGGAUGGUAAGGCACUUUAAGUUGGGAGGCGUUACCAACAGAAUAAGCACCGGCUAACUACGUGCCAGCCGCCGCGGUAAUAC